GUGUCACACGAAACGAGAGAAGGUCAGUGCUCCCUUUGGCAAGGAUGGAAGAGGCCCUCGGGCCAGGCCACACAAGGUCCUACCAUAUAGCACAGGGAACUAUAUCC
ensembl:snRNA